rnacentral:lncRNA from 13 species
GAAAGGAGAAAACCUCAGUUCCUAGAGAUGCUCCCAGAGAUAGUCCUAAAGAUGAAGAUGAGGAGGACCCUUUGCUCCCAGGGAAGGAGAAGGGCCUCUGUUCUUAGAGAUGAAAUGCUCCCAGAGAUGGGUGAAGAGAACUUUUGUUUCUGAACGGCUCAACCUUAAAAUUGUACCCCAAAACCUUCAAGAGUGGACCCUCAAAAGCAGUUGUGGGAAAAGCUGCAAGUUGGGGGAAGGGACUCAUGGUUUUGUGGUGUUUGUUUAAAUAUAUUUCAAAGUAAUAUCCCCAAUUUAGAUGACUUUCAGAAGCCCUGAUACAUUUUGUUUGGCUUAUUGUGUUUGGUGUUGUUUGUUUGUUUUUAAUGGAUAAUCCUCAUCCUUCACUUUAUCUACUUUGUUUGUUUUUAAUGGAUAAUCCUCAUCCUUCACUUUAUCUACUAGCUGUGCAGUAUCUGCAAAUUCAGAGUAGCAAUCAAAGAAAAUUGCCAGUUUUCCUUGUGAAUAUAAAGUAUGCCUCCUGUCCUUUGCUGCGGCAUUCCUGGGAUUUCAGGGUCCUGUUUCCUCUCUCACUUGGAUAUCUGAUCUGGCUACGUUGCUGGAAUUUGAAGCAUGAAAGCACAAUUGCAAGGGCUGAAGAGUGGACUGCUGCAACCAGCUGUUUUUGCUCACACAAGAAAAUUUAUGUCAUGUAGUAAAUACCUGGAAAAUAAUUGUAUCUUUUUUCCCUCACAAAGCAACAAAUCUUCGUCUUGUACAGCAUCCAGAUUAGGACAGGGACAAGUCUUUUGCUACUUUGAGAACCCCAUCCUGCUUACAGGAGUGUUGACUGAAGGUGCAGAUAUCAGACAACGUGGGUUUAGGACGCUGCUUAUCAAUGUAAGUCAAAAUGAAAGAGAAGAGGUGGGGCUGUGUGUGAGGUGUCUGUGCAUAUGUGUGUGCGUGUGUGUGUGUUUUUGCCUGCUUUGUGCCUCAAGUAAAAUCUUUUUUUUUUUCAAAUAAAAACCUGUAAAGAACUAUUUUAACUAUAUCGUAACAAAAGCUUGCAGAAAACUUUUAACUUAUUACCUUCAUAUCAACAGUUUGGACUGCACGAUUUUACUAGUAAUUGAUACAGAAUACUGUGCUUAAGUUUCAUCUAUGGGAAACAGAACUACACUCUUUCCUGUGUGGUCAAACAUUGAAAUGGAGAGACUGAGUAUUGUGCAAAAGGCUUGUCUUCUCUUCAGUACUCUGGCAUUUACCAAGAAAAGCUUGGGUAAUUUUGCUCUAUCCUUUAGGUAAUGUGAUCUUGAUAGAUCGCAAAAAUUAAUUGCAGUUAAAGAGUACCAUAUGAAAUGAGAUGCUAAGUUCAUUGCUGCAGUAAUAAAACUGGUUUGAAGACAGCUUCUACAGUGAUACUAUUGAUUAAUGUGUCACAGACCUUAAAAUAAACUGCCACUAUUUUAAUCAGCCUGUAAGGGCAGUUAUGCUGAAGCUCCUAAUCAGACCACUGUACAAGGCAGACAGGCCAUUCAUCACAGUGAAUUAGAAGCUAUGUUUCAGCAAACAAAAACACAAACACACAGGCUAACCCGCAGCCAUCUACAUAACUCAGAGGAGACAAAUGAUUACUGCAAGUUUUUCUGAAACUUGAUAAAAUGUGUGGUCUGAAAUCCAGGACAAUAUAUCACUCUAAUACUAGUUAUGUACCUCAAGGAAGUAUUUUUUGCGUGGUGUUCUUUCCCUAGGGAAAUAUAGGCCAGAUUGUAUCAUAUUACACAUUGUGUAGCUCCGAGUUCAUUUUAAUUUUUAACACUCAUCUGUUUUCGUCAUCUGUACAUAAGUCAUGCCACAGGAACAUCUGCUGGUUCUUUUCUUUCUUCCUACUGACUUCAGUUUUGCAUUUUUAUAUUGCGGUUUUGUUUCCAUAUGAGGGUCAAAGUCAGCUUGCUUGUUCAAAGAAGAGCAAGGGGGGGACAACACGUUACAGCAUUAUGGUUGUGCUGGAUUUGACUGUUGUUUACACAGGUAACCUGGAAGUCAGUAGCUCUUCUCCAUGCUGUCCCUCUUGCCUUUGUCACAAUGUCCUGUGUCUGGGUUGAAGAUCCUUUUGUCCCCUAUGCUUAAAAACUCUUUUGGUCCCUCUGCUGAGGUGGACAUAGGAUGGUCUGUCCCUAUAUUGUGGCUUUGCAAUACAGAUUCUGUGCUCUGAAAACUUGGGCUGUCAGGUUUACUCCUCAGGGUGCAUACAUGAGCCACUGUGUGGUAGCAAAUUUUACUUAGAAUCUCACCAGCUGGUCAGAUCUGAUGUGUCUCAUGACAGAACGCUGGAGACAUAUAUUGGAUCCUAUGAGAUAUUUAAUAAUUAGUAGGAUUUUGCUUAUACUCUUUGUCUUUCUUGCUGUUUUGAAUGGAAAAAAAGAAAAUUAAAAUUUGAAUGCUACUGUGGUGGGGUGUGUGUGUUUUUUGAAGGAAAUAAACUAGCAAAAGUGGGGACAAAAAAAAGAGAGCAAACCUUAAUAACAGCAGC